rnacentral:rRNA from 1 species
UCAAGCUACAAAGGGCGCAUGGUGAAUGCCUUGGUAUCAGGAGCCGAUGAAGGACGUGAUAAGCUGCGAUAAGCUUCGGGUAGGCGCACAUAGCCUGAGAUCCGAAGAUCUCCGAAUGAGGAAACUCACAUGGGAAACCCCAUGUAUCAUUAAGUGAAUACAUAGCUUAAUGAAGGUAACCCAGGGAACUGAAACAUCUAAGUACCUGGAGGAAGAGAAAGAAAAAUCGAUUUUCUUAGUAGCGGCGAGCGAAAGGGAAAGAGCCCAAACCGGAAACUUGUUUCCGGGGUUGUGGACAUAACAUAAAAGUGGAGGCUAUUGUAACUGAAGAGAACUGGAAAGUUCCACCGUAGAAGGUAAUAGUCCUGUAAGUGAAACGAGAAGACCACGAGUUAUGAUCCAGAGUACCACGAGACACGUGAAACCUUGUGGGAAGCAGGGAGGACCACCUCCCAAGGCUAAAUACUACCUGAUGACCGAUAGUGAAGCAGUACCGUGAGGGAAAGGUGAAAAGAACCCCGGGAGGGGAGUGAAAUAGAACCUGAAACCGUGUGCCUACAACCGCUCAGAGCCCCUUAUGAGGGUGAUGAGGUGCUUUUUGUAGAACGAGCCAACGAGUUACGGUAUGUAGCAAGGUUAAGUACUUAAGGUACGGAGCCGAAGGGAAACCGAGUCUGAAUAGGGCGACUAGUUGCAUGCCGUAGACCCGAAACCGGGUGACCUAUCCAUGGCCAGGUUGAAGCGAGGGUAAAACCUCGUGGAGGACCGAACCACGUUGCUGUUGAAAAAGCAUGGGAUGAGCUGUGGAUAGCGGAGAAAUUCCAAUCGAACCCGGAGAUAGCUGGUUCUCUCCGAAAUAGCUUUAGGGCUAGCGUCGAGUAUGAGUAGUGGAGGUAGAGCACUGAAUGGGCUAGGGGGCAUAGCGCUUACCGAACCUUAUCAAACUCCGAAUGCCACAUACUUUGAGCUCGGCAGUCAGACUACGAAUGAUAAGAUCCGUGGUCAAAAGGGAAACAGCCCAGAUCGUCAGCUAAGGUCCCAAAGUGUAAGUUAAGUGGGAAAGGAUGUGAGAUUUCUAAGACAACUAGGAUGUUGGCUUAGAAGCAGCCAUUCAUUAAAAGAGUGCGUAAUAGCUCACUAGUCGAGAGAUCUUGCGCCGAAAAUGUAACGGGGCUAAACUUACCACCGAAGCUACGGGCUUGAACUUAGUUCAAGCGGUAGGAGAGCGUCGUAACCGGGCUGAAGUCGUACCGUAAGGAGCGGUGGACUGGUUACGAGUGAGAAUGUUGGCAUCAGUAGCGAGAUGUGGGUGAGAAUCCCACAGGCCGAAAACCUAAGGUUUCCUCAGGAAGGUUCGUCCGCUGAGGGUUAGUCGGGACCUAAGCCGAGGCCGAAAGGCGUAGGUGAUGGACAACUGGUUGAUAUUCCAGUACCACUACCAUCGUUAUUAUCGAUGGCGUGACGCAGGAGGAUAGUGUGUGCUAGCUAUUGGAUGCUAGUCUAAGCGUUUAGGCAGUGAGAGUAGGCAAAUCCGCUCUCAUAAUGCUGAGGCGUGAUGGGGAAGGUUCUACGGAACCGAAGUACAUGAUUCCACGCUGCCAAGAAAAGCGUCUAGAGAGAGAAGUAGUGCCCGUACCGCAAACCGACACAGGUAGGUGAGGAGAGAAUCCUAAGGCCGGCGGAAGAAUUACAGUUAAGGAACUCGGCAAAUUGACCCCGUAAGUUCGCGAGAAGGGGUGCCUACGAGAGUAGGCCGCAGAGAAUAGGCCCAAGCAACUGUUUAGCAAAAACACAGGUCUCUGCUAAAGCGUAAGCUGAUGUAUAGGGGCUGACGCCUGCCCGGUGCUGGAAGGUUAAGGGGAACACUUAGCGCAAGCGAAGGUGUGAACUUAAGCCCCAGUAAACGGCGGCCGUAACUAUAACGGUCCUAAGGUAGCGAAAUUCCUUGUCAGGUAAGUUCUGACCCGCACGAAUGGCGUAAUGACUUGGGCACUGUCUCAACUGUAAAUCCGGCGAAGUUGUAGUGCGAGUGAAGAUGCUCGCUACCCGCGAUUGGACGGAAAGACCCCGUAGAGCUUUACUGUAGCUUAGCAUUGAGUUUUGGUAUUGUCUGUACAGGAUAGGUGGGAGACUAGGAAACUAGGGCGUCAGCCUUGGUGGAGUCAACCUUGGGAUACCACCCUGACAGUACUGAAAUUCUAACUGGCGGCCAUGAAUCUGGUCACAGGACAUUGUUAGGUGGGCAGUUUGACUGGGGCGGUCGCCUCCUAAAAAGUAACGGAGGCGCCCAAAGGUUCCCUCAGAACGGUCGGAAAUCGUUCGAAGAGUGCAAAGGCAGAAGGGAGCCUGACUGCGACACCCACAAGUGGAGCAGGGACGAAAGUCGGGCUUAGUGAUCCGGUGGUACCUCGUGGGAGGGCCAUCGCUCAACGGAUAAAAGCUACCUCGGGGAUAACAGGCUGAUCUCCCCCAAGAGUCCACAUCGACGGGGAGGUUUGGCACCUCGAUGUCGGCUCGUCGCAUCCUGGGGCUGAAGUAGGUCCCAAGGGUUGGGCUGUUCGCCCAUUAAAGCGGCACGCGAGCUGGGUUCAGAACGUCGUGAGACAGUUCGGUCCCUAUCCGUCGCGGGCGUAGGAAAUUUGAGAGGAGCUGUCCUUAGUACGAGAGGACCGGGAUGGACUGACCUCUGGUGUACCAGUUGUUCCGCCAGGAGCACAGCUGGGUAGCUAAGUCGGGAAUGGAUAAACGCUGAAAGCAUCUAAGCGUGAAGCCAACCUCAAGAUGAGAUUUCCCAUAGCAUAAGCUAGUAAGAUCCCUUGAAGAACACAAGGUUGAUAGGUCGGGGGUGUAAGCAUGGUAACAUGUUCAGCUGACCGAUACUAAUAGAUCGAGGGCUUGACCAA